rnacentral:rRNA from 1 species
AACGAACGCUGGCGGCAUGCCUAACACAUGCAAGUCGAACGAGACCUUCGGGUCUAGUGGCGCACGGUUGCGUAACGCGUGGGAACCUUCCCUUAGGUUCGGAAUAACUCCCCGAAAGGGGUACUAAUACCGGAUAAUGUCUUCGGACCAAAGAUUUAUCGCCUUUGGAUGGGCCCGCGUUGGAUUAGCUAGUUGGUAGGGUAAAAGCCUACCAAGGCGACGAUCCAUAGCUUGGAUGAGAGGAUGAUCAGCCACACUGGGACUAAGACACGGCCCAGACUCCUACGGGAGGCAGCAGUGGGGAAUAUUGGAAAAUGGGCGAAAGCCUGAUCCAGCAAUGCUGCGUGAGUGAUGAAGGCCUUAGGGUUGUAAAGCUCUUUUACCCGGGAUGAUAAUGACAGUACCGGGAGAAUAAGCUCCGGCUAACUCCGUG